CGGGCCCGGAGCGGGGAGUGCCCCCGCCUCUCCCCGCACCCUCAACUCCCGCGCUCCCUGACAGCCAUUUUGGGGGUUAGGCACCUCGCUCCCCCCUACCCCCCGCCUCCGAGCUAGGGAAGCGGGAAGGGGGCCGGGAGCGGGGAAGGAGCGCUGGGAGGCGAGAAGAAAGUGGCCCGGAGCAGAGCCCGGGGAACAAAGAACUUCUCGCCCAAGUGGCAAGACCUGGCAGGGAUUUGGUCUGCCAGGGGCACUUCACUGUGCUACUCCUCUCUGGUUGCACUGGUCCCAUUUCCAGCUAUAAACUGACUUGGGGGCAUUGCUGAGCCAACGGGAAGAGCUUUGCUGGGGGUAUGGUCAGGACUGCAGACAGUGAUGACCCAGGCAAUUAAAAUGCAUGGAAGCAGCAUGUAUUUCCUACAAGCAGGAACCACUUUUCUGAGUAUUCUGCUGCAAAACGACCUUGUGCCACAUGAAGAGGCUGCCGUGGCAUCCAGCUGCUACGAACACAUCGAAAGAGCCCGUUUGUUUAGACACAUACUGGAUAAUUGAUUUCCGCUGUACAUUAAAAAAGCAUUCUUCCGUUUUGUUGGCAACACCAGAUCUUUUUAAUUUAAUUAAUGUUUCAAAAGGUAAACUGAUUCAAUUAGGAUAACUUUUCAAUGGAAAUAGUGAGAUGCAGAAGAAAGUGUUUUUCAAAGCUAGCUGAAGGAUCUUGUGUGACUUCCCCAAGAGAGGAAAGCAGCCUACUUUAAAUCAGCUGAGUUUCAUCAAUAAAAGGAGAAUGGGGCCUAGUGGAAUCACUCUGGAGCUCUGCUGCUUGCAAAAAUACUUUAUUUCCCAUGGUAAUUUUAAAAAACUUUUUGUUUUUAAUAUAAAGACACUUCCCCCCCCGCCCCAGCCAGCCCCACUUUGUCAAAAACAGCAAACAAAACAUGUUUCUAAAAAAUACCUGAUGAACUCUUCAGGGGUGCAAAAUCAAGCGGAAGUCUUGCAAUAGAGAAUUGAUGUGACUGGAGUAUAAAACAUUUAGGGCUGCAUUAUGUCUUUGAACAGAAAAUAUGUUACGCCACCUUCCUAGGAAGUUUCAUUCCUCAGGGCCUCCUUUGUUGUAGGUGGACAACAGCACGCUGCCGAUCCAGUAACCAUUUGAGAUAGACAGCGCCUACGCGAGGUGACCUACUGCGGCCAGCAACUGGGCCGUAAGGCUGCCACUCCCUCCACGUCCCUCAUCGCCCCCCUGCUCUGCAGAGGCACCAGGAAAAGGACUGCUUUUCAUCUGUGUGAGGGUGGACGGUGACUUCACAUAAGGACGAGCGUGAGGAGAACCAGCCAGCUCAGGCAGGGCAAGCUGAGGACUCUGAGGUCUCAAAGAGCCCAGGACUAACACCUACCAGCUUUAAAGCCCCUACCCACUUUAAUAGUUUACAAGAGCAGCAACACUGUUUUUAUGGGACCCCAAAAUCAUCCUCUCUUUCUCAUUAGCAGUGAGAUAAUGUUACCCUGAAACCAGCGAGAAACAGUAAUUCUACUUGCCAUGUUCAAAACCAGUCAGUUUUUAAGUACAGGCUUAUACAGUCCCUACUGGAGCCCCCAAAACCCAGGAAAAUCUGUUCUUCAUUAAGGCUUUGGGUCAUAUGCCAUUCAUCUGUGUGCAUGGGACCCCACUGAUACUGGCUUGUGGGACUGACACGCAGAACAAAACCAGCAUGUAGCCCCUUUCAUGCUGCAUUUCUCCGGUGGACAUAUUUCAACCUGAAGCUGUAAAUGGCUUAAAAUGCAGGCCCUGCCUGUCUCAUGAUUCAUGCCCAAACCUCCCACGGAUGCCACUGAGGAGGGGCAUGUAGGAAAUGCGGGAUCUGUUGCCUGUUCUCGUAAAUGGAGGUUAUAGCAUCUCCUUCAAAAAAUAAUUUUCUUAAUCAUCAGGAACGACAUCUGCUUUUCAUGAAGACAACUCGAGUCAGCUAAAAGAUGAUGGGGGAACGACCUCCUGCUUUCACUUCUGAAGUGACUAGGUAAUCAUUUGUCUUUCUUAUAAAGCAGGAAUCAUACUCCUUUUACAUUUAGAUAAGGGAAAUGGAACGCAUCCAGCAAAAAACACUAGCCAUCCUCCAACAGACCACAGAAAUCGGAUGGAUACCAGCACUGAAGGAGGCUCGCUUAGGUAGACUUGGGAAAACUCCUGAAAAGAGCUUUUCCAGAAUUCAACCCCCCUCAAUUGUGCAAUGGAGAAUUACAAAGUCUCCGAGAACAUGAGCUAGUAGAGUGUGCAUGACACUCAGAAAUGCCUACGUAGCGAAACCUAAAGGACUGGGUUUUACAGAGUGGUCAGCCAAAGAGACUUUUUGUUGAUGAUGUAAUAUUUGUAACUUGAUAAUCUGCUUGAGAAAUGUGAUGAAGAAGUUGUUCCUGGAACUACUUUAAACUGCCUUGGAGCCUGCAUGUGUAUUUGCAGCUGAGCAGUUGAAAUAAAUCCAUGUUAGGAAAACACCAAUGUCAUUAGUUGAGCUUGAUGCAUAAUACAAAGCCUGUCUCUCUUCCCAAGCUCAGCAGUUUGGCUAACAGGCCAGACAGCAAUGUUGACAGUACAAAUUACUGACUAAUUCCUUUCA